AUGGUGACACAUCAAAGCGAUGAACGGGCACAUUGGAGAAGGACAAUGCACGGUGAAGGAUGCUUGGCGCCAUCCUUGACCAUGCUUUCUGUCACCCCCACCUACUUCUCAAUGGAUCAAUGAAGCCUGCAUCACAGAAAAAAAAAAUGAACAAGAAAGAUGAACAAUUAACUGAUCCUGAGAAGCAGUAUCAUGUCGUGUGAUUGUUAUGCUAUUGUGGCCGAAUGAUGUGUGUGAGAAGCACGGGGGGCUCCAAGAGAAUCCAGCAAUCCCUUUCAGGACAUUAGGACUCUCAGAGAGAAUGGACGGCCCCAUCAGAACAAGGACAAUGUGCACGGAUAUAUGCAGGGAGAGAGGAGGAGGAGAAAGGAGGGACCAAGAAACAGAAGAAGAAUGGCAGGGACUUAUUGAGACAACAACAGAGCCAUUGCAACGGAUCCGGUUUAAGGUAGACUACCAGCCUAAAUGACCACGCGUGUCAUAUAGCUUGGGUGGACGAGAACGGAAGGAAAUGCCUUAGUACUUUCCGCAACUGACCAGCAUCGUGCAUUUUGUUCAACAUGCUUGCACAUCGUGGCCAUUGAACAGCACCUGUGAAUGUACACGAGUCAGUGGGCUCUGCACUGACUAGAAAUGCAUAAAGUAAUGGCUGGAAAAUGUUUAGAUUAGGACAUGCCAGUAAUAUGGUGGUGGAAAUGUUGUUUAGCCUCUCAGUCCUUCCGGUUUCAAACGUCAUAAGCUAACCUUCUUCCUCUUAUUCUUUUUUGGGAGUACGCUGCUCAAGUGCUCAUAAUCUUCUUACUAAAUUUCAUAUCUCUUUGUUAGUUUUUUAAUGAAAAAACUUCGGCUGGGAGCUGGACAUCUUUCCGUAUGGACCAUUGAAUCUAUCCCAACAUUGGCAAUGCCCAUGCAUGAGAACAAACAGAUAGGCUGAACACUUGACCUGCUCGCUAUCUGCUUGCACGAUGCCAUCAUUAUAUUUUUACAGCAUCGUUGUCCAUGAGAGGAAGAAGACAAGCUCUAGAAGCUCGAUACAUUCCACAGCACGGCCGGAGUUACCGAUAAGCACCUUCCUAUGCUUCAUAUCGAUCGCUCCGUCCGCCAAAAGCCACAUGGCAAAUUGCACAACGGCGACGCCCUAUGCAAAUCAGUAUAAAUAGCCACUCGUGUCGUGCUUUGCAAACUCCCCCGGCCAACCCAGCUUCACUAAUCGCAAUGGUAAUCACUUGAUGCACAGCACAAGAAAAAAGCAGAGACUGGUUGGUACCUGGUUGGCUGGUUCGGAACCAUGGGCUCCUUGCAUUGCGACAUCGCCGCCUCCCCGUCCUUCUCUAGCACCGGGAGCAGCAACGGCGGCGGUGAUAACGUCGCCGGCAGUGAUGGC
rnacentral:lncRNA from 1 species